GGGGGUUUAGCUCAGUUGGUAGAGCGUUCGCUUAGCAUGUCUGCUAAACUGCGAAAGGUCGCGUGUUCGACUCAUGCAGUCUCCA